GCUCCGGUGGCCUAGUGGAUGGAGCGUCCGCCUCGGAUGCGAGAGAUCGCAGGCUCGAAUCCCGGCCGAAUCA